CUAGUAACGGCGAGUGAACAGGCAAGAAGCUCAGAUUUGAAAGGCACUUUUGUGCCGUUGUAUUCUGAAGUUAGGGUCCUGAGAAACGAUGCUUAAGUCUUCUGGAAAGGAGCGCCAUGGAGGGUGAUAGCCCCGUCUAGCAUUGACCUCAUAUAGGAUCUUAACAUGGAGUCGAGUUGUUUGGGAAUGCAGCUCAAAUGGGUGGUAUGCUCCAUCUAAAGCUAAAUAUCUGCGAGAGACCGAUAGUAAACAAGUACUGUGAGGGAAAGAUGAAAAGAACUUUGAAAAGAGAGUGAAAAGAGUACGUGAAAUUGGUUGAAAUGGAAGGGUAGGCCGCUAACCCAUGUAAGAGACCGUGUUUGGGGGGAAGAUAGAAUGCUGG
rnacentral:rRNA from 1 species